rnacentral:rRNA from 1 species
CCUACGAGCGGCAGCAGUGAGGAAUAUUGGUCAAUGGCCGGGAGGCUGAACCAGCCAAGUCGCGUGAGGGAAGACGGCCCUACGGGUUGUAAACCUCUUUUGUCAGGGAGCAAGGUGCAGGUCGGGAACUGCUGUGAGAGUACCUGAAGAAAAAGCAUCGGCUAACUCCGUGCCAGCAGCCGCGGUAAUACGGAGGAUGCGAGCGUUAUCCGGAUUGAUUGGGUGUAAAGGGUGCGCAGGCGGAGGCACAAGUCAGCGGUAAAAUCGCGGGGCGCAACCCCGCUGCGCCGUUGAAACUGUGGCCCUUGAGUGCGCGAAGGGUAGGCGGAAUGCGUGGUGUAGCGGUGAAAUGCAUAGAUAUCACGCAGAACUCCGAUCGCGAAGGCAGCCUACCGGCGCGCAACUGACGCUCAUGCACGAAAGCGUGGGUAUCGAACAGGAUUAGAUACCCCGGUAGUC